rnacentral:rRNA from 1 species
GACGAACGCUGGCGGCGUGCUUAACACAUGCAAGUCGAACGGAAAGGCCCUGCUUGCAGGGUACUCGAGUGGCGAACGGGUGAGUAACACGUGGGUGAUCUGCCCUGCACUUCGGGAUAAGCCUGGGAAACUGGGUCUAAUACCGGAUAGGAGCCAUUUUUAGUGUUAUGGUUGGAAAGUUUUUUCGGUGUAGGAUGAGCUCGCUGCCUAUCAGCUUGUUGGUGGGGUAAUGGCCUACCAAGGCGGCGACGGGUAGCCGGCCUGCGAGGGUGGACGGCCACAGUGGGACUGAGAUACGGCCCAGACCCCUACGGGAGGCAGCAGUGGGGAAUAUUGCACAAUGGGCGCAAGCCUGAUGCAGCGACGCCGCGUGGGGGAUGACGGCCUUCGGGUUGUAAACUCCUUUCGCUAGGGACGAAGCUUUUUGUGACGGUACCUAGAUAAGAAGCACCGGCUAACUACGUG